CAUACGAGAGCAGUUGAAGAUAACAGAAGGAAAGAGCUCUACUCCAGACAUACUUAUUUCUGUCUUUCAAAGUGAGCGAUGGUGGACCAAUCAGCUUGAAUGUAAGGCUACAAUUCUCGAACGUCUAUCUUCGUUGCUCUCGACUAUUUCCCGGCCUGCCGUGACGACCAAUCAAUUCACUACUAGAAAAGAAGAGAAUUACUCUGCGACUAGAGAGCUUCACAGAGAGAGAGAGGCAAAUUGCAUCACGUGACUCGGUUUCCUCUAAUUGGAUCUAAUAUUUAAGCUUCGUAGAGUUAUGGUGGGGAUAUCUGAACAGGAUUUGUGCAUAUUAUAAAAUCCCUGCCAGCAAUGCUUUAAGAUGCACAAACUCUAAUAAAGAAAGAUAUUGCAUAACAUUUACCCAAGAUCCAAACUCAAGACAAAAAUGGAUUGAUACUGCCUGAAAUUCCUGAUUGGAAACCUUCAGCUUUACUGUGUGAGAUUGGUAUCGAAGCGUGCAUACAAAUUAUAAUAUUCAUUUCCAUUCAGAAUUAUUCCGCGUUGGUAGCAAAAAAAUUAUGAGGACAGGUGCCAUACCAAAUUUGUUUUGCAAAUGUGAUGAAAGUAGAA